rnacentral:tRNA from 1 species
AGAGGAUUGGUGUAAUGGUAGCAUGACGGUCUCCAAAACCGUUCGUUAAGGUUCGAGUCCUUGAUCCUCUGCCA